CCGGGGAAGGCAGAACCCUGGCGUGGGAGCCCUGCGCUGCUCAGGACCGCGUCGCCCACUCUUUUUAGCUGUGCUGCUCAGCACGGAGGCCCCUUCGGCCCUCCGAAACGACGUCUCCCAUGUGGAAAUGGCAUUAUCUUCACCCACUGGACUUCAAAGAGAGAGAGCAGCUAGUAUCCUGGGAAGCUAAUCGGAUUUAUUUGGUUCUAUCUUUCCCCUGGGACAGGGCGUAAAGAAGAUAUUUAUGUAUCUACAUCUCACUAGGCCUGGUUUAGCCGUGGAGGGAGAUGAGCUUUUAGAGCCGAAAGUCAUACACAGUACUUUCUUAUCAAGCCUAAGCAUAUGGACUUGGUUCAUCACACCCCUGGGAAGAAGCAGGAAAAUCUACCUCACAGGCUGGUUGGUCAGUAUCUGCAUGUGGGCCUACUAACCCAGCUUCCACGGGCAGCCUCCCCAACCGGAGAGAUGGACUGGUACCAGUCCCUGCACACCCCAAACCCUCACGACCAAGGAGCAUAAAGCCAAAUUGGGAUCCGGCCGGCAAGUGUGGCUGUGGCCAUGGAGACCAGCAAGCUGACUGGCUCUGAUUUUCUGCAGAAAGCAUACUGUACUCAGCUCUUUUGGAUGCCUGAGUUCUCUGUUGCCUUGGGCAAAAAACCUAAAUUUUUAGCAUCUUGGUUGCUACAUAUGUCAAAUAUGAAUUAUGUGAAACUGCAGGUCUGUUUCCAAAAUCAAUUGAGAUGCCACAUGUCCAUGACUCUCAAUCCUUAGACUCAUUUGGAAUGGGACCCAGGAAUUUGGAAUUUUUAAAAAAGAUUUCAUUUAAUUUAUUUGAGAGACAGAUAUCACAGAGGCAGAGGGAGAGGGAGAAGCAGACUCGCUGCUGAUCUGGGAGCCCCAUGCGGGGCUCGAUCCAAGGACCCUGGGAUUGUGACUAGAGCCAGAGGCGGAUGCUUAACCAACUGGGCCACCCAGGUGCCCCAAGAAUUUGAAUUUCUAACAAGUACCCAGGUGAUACUGAUGCUGCUGGUCCUCCUACCCUGACACAUGGUUUGAGAACUCUUGUUACAUGUGAGAAAUUACAAAUGUGUGCUAUGUUAAUGUUCCAUAUACAUCAAAGGAACUCAUCAGUUAUACAUUGUUUUGAGGAAGCAGACAUAAAAUUUUGGUUCAGAGUUAGGGGGCCCUUACUGGACGUACAAUAGAAAUACUCCUGGAUCCUCAAAGAAGCACCUAAGGGAUUGCCAGUGCCCAGAAAAACCUAAAGACAUCAGUGCAGACCCCUAAUAUAGCAAGGAAAACCCCACCCAAGCUGGACGUGUGCACUUUUGCUGUUGCCCACAUUUUCAGAAAUCGGACUCCCCAGAGGCAGAGCUUUGGACGGAGAAGAGCAGAGCCUGGAAACUCUUUGCUGGGAAGGGAAGAGUGAAUGACCAUGGCCAAGAGGUUGCUGGGAAUCUGAACCUGUUUUCUUUCCUGGGCGAAGUUAGGAGCCGGACACAGACCAGGCUUCCACCCCUGGCCUCCAGAGUGUCAAUCCUGGGGCCCGCGCCGGGGGCCUGUGCUUAUCAGCAGUGAGAAAACGGCGGUCUGGCCCAGUUCCAUUCGGGAGAGGCAGAGGCGACGCUGUGAGGGAGGGACAGAGAGUACCUCUCUGCCCCAAGCAACAGACAUUCAGGAAAGAAAGUGAAACUAACUGGGGGCAUGCAUUCUGCAAACACUCCCUGAAGAAGACGCUGAGGAUUUAAAGAUACGAUGUAAUCCUUGCCUUCAAGAAGCUUCUAGUCUAGUGCAAUGGCAGCAGAAUCUCUGCGAGGAAGACCAAGAUGUGUCAGUGCAGGGAGAUGGCCAAGCUGCUGGACUGUCCACCUGAAAAGGGAGGGCCACUCAGAUGCACUGAGAAACGUCACCAUGCCAAGGCAAGCCCUGCUUACC